UGUGGCCAAACAGUAAUCCUACCCUCGAUGGAUCCUUCAAAAUGCGUCGUGAAUUAAUUAGCUAACGUUGUGAGCCGUAUGUGUUUCUUGGCCUUCGAAUGAUUGCGUAAACGCAGCCGUGCUUGCCAAAACUCUAUUGGUAAAAGCAAUUUACUUCCAGAAUUACAGACCGCAUGGAAAAAUUUAUAGUUGUGUCGGUGUUUGUGACUGUGGUAAAAUUUACCGAACAAAAUUUUAAAGUGGAGUACCUCGACUUUGAUACUAAUCCAAUUUCGGAAAGAUCAGUGUCACUUUCUUACUUUGUUCCGCUGAAAUUGUUAAAUCCCGUCUCCUAUAAUCUUUAUUCUGUUCUUUUUGACAACCCUCAUUGUUAAUUAUGUUUUUCCAGUAAUACACAAUGUCAUAAUACUAAUAGACUUAAGUAUGAAUUAUUAUACAUUGUACCUAAACAAAAGCAGAUAUUUUAACGAGAUUUUUUGCGCAUGAUAAAACUGUCAUUCUGAAAACUUAUAUGGAACCACCAUUUAUCACUAUUAUACCUUUAAUCCAAAACCCAAACAAAUGUUUCCUUCGAAAACGUGCGAAAUCGUUUUUAAUAAUACACUCGGAAGAAUCAAACAUUGAGCUCUAGUUCAAUUACCAUCCAUACGUAGUAACCCAGCGGAUUCAAAUCUGGGCAAGAUGUGAACCAGUCUGUACGGCUUACCAGAAAACAAUCGAACGAGACAAUUGUACCAAGACAGUGAUUUGUUUCGGUGGCAACGCUGAAUAAAUUGGGGCGUGGACUGAUGCGCGAGGAGGCAGCAGUUGUCGUUGUCGAAAGUAUACGAGAUUACGAGUCUUAGCAAUAAUGCAAGUAGCAAUAGAACAACAUGAUACUAAAUAGUUCUGACGAGUCAUGUUAGCUGAAUGGUGAGGCUCGUAUUAAAAUAUCAAUGUUUGCACGCGAGAAAAAGAUGCCCAAGAACGAGGAAAAAUGUGCACUGUUUUAUAGGCUGUUGAUUGUUAUAGGGUUCGUAGGUCGAUAAUAUGAGGAGAUUAUGAAAUAGUUUAUCAACUUCAAGUUUUCAGGUAUAUUGCAUAAAUUAGAAAAACGUAAAAUUGAGGCGAACAAUUGUUACGAACGUUAAGUUCUGAUGAAGUUAUGACUUACAGUUGUUUUUCGCGACGUCCACAACGUCGCGUUAUGGGCUCAGUUAAAAAAUGUGGUUUAAAAACGUUUUAAAAAGUUAAAAAACGGUUUUUUUUUCAUGAGGGCUGUUCAUUGGUGCAUUGGAUCCUAUAAAUUUCGAAUGAGGAAAGCUGACUUUUCUGUUAACAAUCUAUACGCUGCAUAUUAAGGUUAAGAAAUAACAAUGACAAGUAUAUCGAAGUUCAAAAGCCGCUUCUCAAUUGUUUCCAUGCCUAUCUGGUUUAGAACGAUCUCAAAAUAACAACUAAAGAUUAUCAAAUUGAGUUUUCUAUGGAAAGUUACUCUUAAUCUUAAGAUUGUUUGUUUUUUAAUAAGCCUAUUUAUCUAAUGUAGAUAAACCUUCAGAACUAACGGCUUUUCUUCCGAGUUAAUUUACUUAUUGUAUAUCAUUUUCAAAGUAUUUGAAAUUAAUACGAGUUUAAUGAUCUUCAGAAAUCAAUAAUAAUAAUAAUAGCUCUAAAAACGUGAUCAGCCAGAUUAGAGCGUUCGCUUGAAAGAUCCCUUCCGCAAAACAAAAAUUUUUAUAUGUGUCAACAUAUAUAUACAAAUUGUAUAUGGAUUUGGUAUUGUUUAGAGCUAGUGACUUGCUUUCUUUGCAUUCAGUGUGAUACGGAUGAAGAACAUUACGAUCGCAAGCACCCAUUGGGGUACAUAUCGUACACAGCCCAUCUCUGCCUUUGUCCUCCUAAUUGUUACAAUCACGAUUCCGCGUUGUAGGAAUGUGGUAGCCUUAUCGAACUGCUCAUUAUGAUAUCAUGUUUUCGCUUUACGGGAAAUUCCUUCGGUUCCUUUUUGUUUGGUAUAAGAUCAAGAGUUUUUCUGGUCAUCUAUAAUCAGUUUCAAGUGGAUCGAUGGCGGGCUUGCGUUAACCUACGUGUGAUGUCAGUUUGUGAGUGUUUCAAGCGUCGCCCUUAAUUGGAAACCAAUCUUAAAGUAAAACGGAUGAACGCAUUGUUGAAAUAAACACAGUACUUCUUACCUUUGGUCGUACACAAGCACAAAGAGAUCCGUGCUCCGGACUGCUGCUUCUACUUUACCAGAAGGCACUCUGACCCUUGUCAACAUUAAACAACUAGUCGCCGUGGAAAGAACGGAUACCCAGGAGGAUGAAUGCGCGUCCAUGCUAGAAAAGAAAGAAGAUAAUCAGGAAAGACUAUAUAUACACAUAUACGAAUACUUAAAUAAUAAAACUUAAGUUAGAUUAAAAACAUACCUCGUACAAAAUUAUAAUCUUUUAUUUAUAUACAUAUAUCGAUAGCUUUCUGAAUUACUUAGUUGGUGUCAGUGCGCAAUGUUGCACAGCGUGAAUUCCUUUUAUGAAGAAUGAGAAGAGUUUUUUAAAAUCAUGUAUAAUGUGCUCUCGAGAGAUAUUGUUUGUUUACUGAAAGUUACUGUUAGUCUCGGGGGACCGAUAAGUUCAUUAAUUGAAAACCUCUAAAUUGUUUUUCACGCUGAAUCAGCCAAGCAGAUUUUUCAGCUAACCUAAAACGUUUUUAAGUUUUAAAAAAUUCUUAGGCUUUUUAUUGCAUUUUCCAGUCGAUUGGGCAACACGCGGAUUGUUAAGCGAACAAGCAAAUCAUCCAUGGACGCGACCCAUUCGAAAACCAUCACCUAUUGUGUUGAAUCGCUUAAAUUCCAGGUCGAACCGCGGAAAUCGGAAUAAGCGUAACCCGAUGGCAUAAGGCCUACAACAUUAUCGCUCCGACGAGCUAUUUGCUCGUGCAGCGCCUUCUUUGUCGAUUUGUUGUCCCAGUUUGGCGACUUCAGUUGAGUUCGGUUUUUCACUGCAUUUAAAAAACUCUAGCAGAACUUCAGGGACCCUCUGAAGUGUCCAUGCGGGAAGGUAAUCCUGGGCUUAAUCAUUUGCUCUUGAGAAAAAAAAAGGUGUCUUAAAAUGUCCGUUUUGGAUGAUACCGAUCUUUAAUAAAAAUGACAUUUUUCUUGAGCCGUGCGUGCAGUAGUGUAUUGACGUUCAGGCAACUGCCAAUAGCCUUUCAUUGGGUUCACUUGGGAUUGAUUUUCCUUCCCUUAAAAGUUUACCUCGCGCUUGCAGCAAAGCGAUGCAAUGGCUACAACGACAAGCGGCCACGAUCUCUUGGCUAUGGAAAACGGAUUGUCGUAACAGUUGGUGAGUCCAAUCGGCCUUUCAGGCUCUAGACCGUUGACACUGGUUUUAGCAAACGUUGCUAGCUUUGACGAAAUUCACUGAGUACUUCCUUUUAAUCUUCUUUGUCUCAGCUACAUUUUUUCGCAUCGGAAAAUUAAUGGAGGAUGUAGUAUCAGAAAUGUAAUUUUUAAAUUUCACAUUUUGAGCGCGUAGAAAACUAGGCAUUUUUAAUUUAAUAGCGUUUGUGGUCUUCAACUAAUUGAGGUAGCAGAUACGUCCUUCGACUUCGAAGUCUGUUCACAGAAUUGGAUAAAUGAUUAUCGUAACUUGCUUCUAAUGCAGGAUCAUUCAUACACAAACUGAUGAACAAUUCAGAUGUCAAAUAUCUUCCUUACACAUAUUUUUAAGGUGAAUUUUUUAGAGUGAUUUAGUUGAUAUGCUUUCAUUUGCACAGGCCCUUUCCUCGAAGCGCUCGAAUAAACGUACCAAGCUGCAUAGCCAGCCUUCGCAUGAUCUCAAUCAUUAUUUUAGAAAUAGAAACACUAAACGUAAGACGCACGUCACCUAACUAGGCAGGAUAAUAUUUUCCACCCAUUCUAAGUGCUCCAGUGGUAAUAUUAGCAACCAUGGAUGAAUUUGAAUGCAGCUGUCUUACACAACCGCUGGCAUUAUUUCUCUACAUAGAAUAUUCCAGUACGCGGUUUGAAUUGCGUUUGCGAUCUUAAUUUGUUAUUGCAGACGCUGUUGCCACACCCUCCCCCACCUCUCAACUCAUUUAUUUAUAAUUUCCCGCCAAAGAUCUUCAGGUCUAGUGCUAAAAAGCCCGUCAAGCGCCAGCUUUUGAAAUCUUCGCUACCGUCAAAUGCACGAUUUCUAACUUAAUUUGACGACGGGCGAAAAAAGUGCUAAUCUGUCGGAACAAGAUUUGAAAAGUCUAAACGGGAAAGUAGAUUCUGACUCAGGCUUUUGCAAGGCCACGUCGAUAAUUCUUGCCAUGAACGGUCCAGCAUUUCACUGUUCUGUCCCGCCUGUCUUUUGCGUUAUAUAGCCAAGUUUAGCAAGUGUGACUGGACUAUAUAUAGAUCUUCGUUGACAAUCUUUAUCUUGUCUGCCAUUUCUUAGUGCCACGAAACCUUUCCAGUCCGAUCAAUCGCAAAUGUUAAUCUUUUUGGGAUAAAGAUCUGACUUAAGUCGGCGAUUAGACACAUCUUCCGGAGCUACCUAUUCCUCUCUUUCCUUCAUAUAGGCGUGGAGCUACCAUUUUUCUCAACCAUAACAAUUAUGUGUAAAAGCAUGUUAUUGUAGCAGGUUUUCCAGAGUAAGGGGAUUUCCCGGCGCCCGGCGCUCGGCGAGAUAUAAGAAGCCGUAUUUUCUCGUGCGCUCUACCAAGCUUGUGGCACAUCCGGACUGUCUAAUAUAUCAGAAUCCGGCCUUCAUUCGCUAACGAAGCGACAACGGGAAUUAAAUGAAAAUGAAGCGGCAAUUCGUGACCUUUACGUCAGUCCCUCUCUUCCCUCCGAGCCCCAAACAUCAAGCCACCACCCCCAAGUAACACACGAACGACGAUCAGGCAACUUGAUUCUAAUCGUCGUAGAAGAACUAGAGGAAAAAAGCGAAAGAAAGCGAUGCAGAAGGGGAAUGAAAAAAAAGUUUGGAUGAAAUGGACUCCGCCCACAAAUAACAGCAGAUUAAUUAACUGGUAAUUCCAUAAUGCGUCUGUACACGGUAUGAUCUUCACGUUUUUUUUCGAAGUAAGCCGGACACCAUGAACGCCGUCUGACUACCGACAAUACCAAAGAGAGAGAGAGAAUUGAUCGGGUUUCAGUUUCAGCCAGCAGGCACGAUCCGGGAUUGUUGGAUCUAUUGGAUAAAAACAAAAAAAAAAAAGGAACAUGUCGUGAGUGACCAUUAUUAUAAUUGUGCUUACAUAGGGUUUGUGGCAAUAGAAGGUGCGGUUUCGAUGCUUCCCUGUAUGGGAGUAUGGUGCUAUUUGAAAAGGUGUCACUACGGCCCGUUGGAUAAUGAUGUGUCAACAGAUUCUUCAUCGGCGAUUCGAGCUUCAAAAUGGCGGAUGUAUUCGAUAUAUUUUAGAGCUAGCGGAGAAGUUUAUAUAAUAUUUUUAGUUGUAGUCUAUGUUUAUUAUGUAAUUUGCUUGGACAACGAAUGCCCUUUGCAAAAAAAAGUAAUGAAUAUCGAGCUUUACAAUGAGCAGGUUUCGCGUAAUGGUUUUCUUAAAUAACAUAAUUGAAUACGACAGCGUUUUAUCGACUAUAGAGUUCUGACCGCGGCAGGUCAGACGCAUUUACGUCAUCUGAAAAGUAUAACGAUUUCAGGCAUCGGCUAAUUUGUGCUUCAGAAAAACAUGUCCUAAUCAAUUAACGAAUUCAAGUAUGUCGAUUCCUGCUUAGGUAGCUCAUUAUUGAUCCCUCCGGCCCCGUCAAUAAUGUUUAUCGUCAUGGUUAAAAAUGCUAGCUUGUAGCAAUAACGAUAAAAAAAAAAAAAUAGAAAGAAAAAACUGAAAAUCACAAGGUUAGGAUGCCGACUGCUCACUAGUAGACACUGAAUUAGGACAGCAAUUUAUAGGAAUCUAUUUACGUUAAAAGUCUGCCAAAAAAGAGACGUAUUUCGCAAUAGCUCUUUUGGAUAGAAAUGAUAGAAAUACGGCAAGAUGUGUAGAAUUGUCUUAUGAAAAACUCUGAGCAAAGCGUAUCGAUUCAGAGAGUCUUGUAAAUAUUAGUAAGAAUAUUGUAACCCGUUUCGUGGGGCGAAUAGUAGAAAAGAUGAUACGACAGUAUAUCAGUGUUUCGUGUUCUACGUCCAGCACUUAAAUCGUCGGGCACUAUCCCAGACAGCCUAUUUUCACAAUAGACUAUCUAUGCUCAUAUCAUUUGAACCUCGUGUCCAGCAGGCAAACACCUUACCCAUCCAGCUAUCACACAGAGGGUGAAUUAUCUAUACGUAUAGGAAACGAACAGUUUGAAAGAAAAAAAAAAAAGUCUUACAAGAAAACGUAUAAACCUUUCAUUAUUAUUUCUAACUUUUCUUUAUUUGACGCCUGAUUACGAUGUUGAAUUCUCUAGUGAUAUCUAUGGAACUAUAUUAUAUAUUUAUUGUUUAAAUGAAGAAAAAAAAGAGGAGACAACUUGUUAAUACGGACUUCCGCAUACAAAACCAAACGAAUACACUUCCUUCCUAUGUAAGGACAUCAA